rnacentral:rRNA from 1 species
CCAUCAUUCAGUUGGGCACUCUAGCGAGACUGCCGGUAAUAAACCGGAGGAAGGUGGGAUGACGUCAAAUCAUCAUGCCCCUUAUGACCUGGGCUACACACGUGCUACAAUGGUUGGUACAACGAGUUGCGAGUCGGUGACGGCGAGCUAAUCUACUUAAAGCCAAUCUCAGUUCGGAUUGUAGGCUGCAACUCGCCUACAUGAAGUCGGAAUCGCUAGUAAUCGCGGAUCAGCACGCCGCGGUGAAUACGUUCCCGGGCCUU